rnacentral:rRNA from 1 species
UACGAAGGGGGCUAGCGUUGCUCGGAAUCACUGGGCGUAAAGCGCACGUAGGCGGAUCUUUAAGUCAGGGGUGAAAUCCCGAGGCUCAACCUCGGAACUGCCUUUGAUACUGAGUAUCUUGAGUACGGGAGAGGUGAGUGGAACUGCGAGUGUAGAGGUGAAAUUCGUAGAUAUUUGCAAGAACACCAGUGGCGAAGGCGGCUCACUGGCCCGUUACUGACGCUGAGGCACGAAAGCGUGGGGAGCAAACAGGG